rnacentral:lncRNA from 1 species
CAAUACAAAAAAGGGCUGGGAUGUGGCUCAGUGGUAGAGUGCCUUUGGGUUCAUUCCCCAGUAAAAACAAACAAACAAACAAAAUCUGUAGGAUUGGGGUUGUGGCUCAGGGGUGGAGCACUUGCCUGGCACAUGAGAGGCCCUGGGUUUGAUCCUCAGCACCACAUAAAAAUAAAUAAAUAAAAUAAAGGUAUUGUGUCCAACUACAACUAAAAAAAAAAAAAAAAUCUGUAAAGCUACCUGCCAAACACAUACCAGAGGUUAACCCUAAGGAUAGAGGUAAAGGACCAGGAUUGGGAAUAUUAGCUUUAGUUUUAACAUUGUAGAAGAUAAAUUUAACCAUGUAUUGCUCUUGUAACUAAAAAUUCUUUUAAUGCAAAAAAAAAAAAAGCAAAAAGACAAGACAUUUGAUCUCAUGACUUUCUAAGAUAAGACAAACCAUGCCAAUUUAUGAAACAGUCUUCCAACAGAGGGCUAGGAGGCUGAGAAAUCAUAGAAGAUUUGCUUAGAGUCUUUAACCUGACAUUAGCUGAAGGGCCUAAGCACAGCUUGAUGAAAGAAGUCAUCUCACUGUGGCCGUGGAUGACCUCUCACCAAGUUUCCAGGUACCCACAUGGCUGGCUGUCCUAUCUAUCUGAUCAACACUGUUUUACUCAAACUACUGUAAACUCUGAGUCAUCCAGAAUGCAGGCAGCAUUCACAGGUCACUUAGCAGUUUUUCUGCUUCUUGGCAGAAAUUCUAUUUAAAUAUAUUCAUUGAGUUCGGCUGUCUACAUGCCUAACACUGAACAACACAGAUAUUAGAUUCUAG